rnacentral:lncRNA from 10 species
GCAUGCUCUAUGGGGUAGAGACGCUAGGCCGGCACUGCCUAGGUGGGCCGGGCGGUGCGAGGGUCGCCUUUCAGCCUUUACCUCUACCCACUGAAAUGGAGUAGGUCGGUGAGCGCCGAUCUGCUGGAGAAUCUCAUUAUCCCAUCGGCGCUCUGCCUGCUCCUGGCCUCCAAGCCUCUGAAGCCCCUCGGGUUUCAGCUGCCGGCUACCCUCGAGCCCGUGGUGCCCACGAGAGAGGCGACUUUACGUCAGCGGCCCUGGGCUGAGAUUUGAGAACGCGACCAAGUGGAGAAUGUUGGAGCCAGAUUUUAAAAUCCUUGUCUUCCUUCUGCGUGCUACUUGAUCUAAAUGAGAUACGGCAAAGUCACAGAACCUGUUUUUAUGUUUUUGCCUGAUUCAUACGGGCUUCUCCGGUGAAGAUGGGCCUGAAGUAACGCUUGGGUUGCUUCUGACGUUAUAACUCAUCCUGUAGCUGCAGCAACCGUGGUCCUUGCAACCUCAUAAAAAUGUUGCCAGCAUUGUUUCGAUAGUGCUGCUUAAUUCUUGGAAGGUUCUUCGGACUUCACACAUUCCAGCAGUAGCUCUCUCAGCUCCUGUCCUGCACAGCUUUGAAGUGCUGGUAAGUCAACACAUCUGGGGCCCUUCAACCAAGGGGUGACAGUCACUGAUGGAUAAAUGCUCUUGCUUCUUACACUUGAGCAAGAUAGUUUUGUAGGCCAUUCUGUGUGUUUUUCAAAAAGUCCCAGUGAAAUUGGGUUCUGGUUUCUCACAACAGCAACUUCAAUAACACAUUCUUGUAUUAUGUCUAUAUUCUCCCUUCCAUUCUCUCAUUGUUUCUCACUAGGAUCACAUCCCAAAUUACCUGUCCCCACAUAAGUAGUUGUCUCAGGUUUUGAGGGAAACCAAGCUAAGAAAUUUGAUGUAAGAAGAAAGUCUAGAAUGCAGCUCCUCAGAACUCUGGAAGUGGGUUACUUUGCAGUCAGAUGACAACAAGGACUUUCUUAGUGAUAUUAAGGGGAGGACAUGUGCAUGGCCCAACAAUUAAGGCUCUUUCUUACUAAAGCCGAUAUGACUACUGCCUCUUUG